GGGCGCAAGCCUGAUCUAGCCAUGCCGCGUGAGUGACGAAGGCCUUAGGGUCGUAAAGCUCUUUCGCCAGAGAUGAUAAUGACAGUAUCUGGUAAAGAAACCCCGGCUAACUCCGUGCCAGCAGCCGCGGUAAUACGGAGGGGGUUAGCGUUGUUCGGAAUUACUGGGCGUAAAGCGCACGUAGGCGGAUUGGAAAGUAUGGGGUGAAAUCCCAGGGCUCAACCCUGGAACGGCCUUGUAAACUCCCAGUCUAGAGUUCGAGAGAGGUGAGUGGAAUUCCAAGUGUAGAGGUGAAAUUCGUAUAUAUUUGGAGGAACACCAGUGGCGAAGGCGGCUCACUGGCUCGAUACUGACGCUGAGGUGCGAAAGUGUGGGGAGCAAACAGGAUUAGAUACCCUGGUAGUCCACACCGUAAACGAUGAAUGCCAGACGUCAGGGGGCUUGCCCUUUGGUGUCACACCUAACGGAUUAAGCAUUCCGCCUGGGGAGUACGGUCGCAAGAUUAAAACUCA
rnacentral:rRNA from 1 species